rnacentral:rRNA from 1 species
AUUGAACGCUGGCGGCAUGCUUUACACAUGCAAGUCGAACGGCAGCACGGGCUUCGGCCUGGUGGCGAGUGGCGAACGGGUGAGUAAUAUAUCGGAACGUACCCAGAAGUGGGGGAUAACGUAGCGAAAGGUACGCUAAUACCGCAUACGAUCUAUGGAUGAAAGCAGGGGACCGCAAGGCCUUGUGCUCCUGGAGCGGCCGAUAUCUGAUUAGCUAGUUGGUGAGGUAAAGGCUCACCAAGGCGACGAUCAGUAGCUGGUCUGAGAGGACGACCAGCCACACUGGAACUGAGACACGGUCCAGACUCCUACGGGAGGCAGCAGUGGGGAAUUUUGCACAAAGGGCGCAAGCCUGAUCCAGCAAUGCCGCGUGAGUGAAGAAGGCCUUCGGGUUGUAAAGCUCUUUUGUCAGGGAAGAAACGGUAGAGGCUAAUAUCCUUUGCUAAUGACGGUACCUGAAGAAUAAGCCCCGGCUAACUACGUG